AAAACAACCAAUCAUAAAAAAAGUUGGGUACUAUAAAACUCCCCUCCCCACACAUAAUUUCCUCUUUCAGGUUUCGACCAAAACAGAACAAAAGGCAGAAAAAUAAUGGAAAAAAACUAAGUCCUAGAUACAAUGAAUACAACGAUGUCCACCAUUCCGAGAAGAACUGUCAAACCAGGUAGCGUUGACGGACUGUAAACUGAAACGAGAAAAAAACAGAAUCGAAAAGGUUGGUUAGCCAAUGAAAUGUACUCUGAACAAAACGUGGAGGCAUAGUAACAACCAGAAGAAACGGAUAAAAGAACAAGUGACAGGUAGCAGAG